rnacentral:tRNA from 1 species
GGGACUAUAGCUCAGCUGGGAGAGCACCUGCCUUACAAGCGCAGGGGGUCACAGGUUCGAGCCCUGUUAGUCCCACCA